UGUGUUCGUAUUUGAGAGAUUCCAAUUUCUAUAUGCUCAGGAGAAAAUAUAGUUUAUUUGGAUAUUUUCAUAUCGAUUUAUGGAAUGUUAGAUGAUUUUAUAAUCGAUUUACGGAUUUAAUUGCGUAUAUUUAUAUUUAUUUAUUAAUUAUUUGACUCCCGUAAAACCGUUCACUCGUAACGAGGUAGCAAAUUUUCUUCCCGGAAGUUUCAACAAAACUCACCUUUAGCCUAAUUUGAAUAUUCCGGACACUUUUCGUGUUUUGACUUUUUCGAUCCGGAGUACGGUUUUUCCCGGAGUCGGUCCGGCGGAGUUUUGCGGGUAUUUGAAUUGUUGAUUAUUAUCCAGUUUGUCUCGAUAAGCGUGAAACUAGAUAUUUUGAUUAUUAUAUUAAUUCUUAUCUUGUAAUAAUUGCAAAUGGGACCCGCAUACUAAUGAUUGAUUAAAAACACCCCGUUUUGAUGGUUAUCUCGAAAACCGGUACCGAUUGGACCCCGUUUUAUUAAUAUAAAGCUAUUAAAUACGUAUUUUCAUGUCAUAAACGAUCCAAAGGGGUACCAAUUAUUUGUAAAUAUAAAUAGACUUUUCUAUAGCUGAUUUUCACCCGUAAAAUCAUUUCACCAGUUUCUUUUCACGAAUACCGAGAGAAACCGAAGUGUGUUCUUCGUGUUCUUCGUAAUCAAACGAAGAUUUGAAGGUGUUAUUGGAAUCCGAUGGAGGCGUAUGAAUAGUCAAAACGAAGCUAUCGAAGCGUAGAAUCAUGUUUAAUCAUCGGUUUGUAUGCAGAUUCAACAGGACUUAGACGAGACGUGUACGCUCGAAGACAUCAGGAAGUCGAAAUGGUAUUGCAAAGCGAAUAAGGGAUGAAUCGAGUAAGCGAAGUGAUGUGGCGAAUAGAGUAUAGCUAGAGAUGGUCUAGAGAUUACGAGAUGCAUAGAUUGUGAAAGUUGAAAGAUGAGGUUGAGCUAUGAAACUGGAGUCAGAUUUAAGGCAAGUAUCCUAAACCCUUCUCUUGGAUAUAUUGCAAAUAUUCUGAUCCAUUCCUUUGGUAUCUGUUGCAAGAAUUCGUACCUUUCCUUUCUAUAUUUAAAAGUGCAUAUGUUCGGAUCUAUUCUUUCUAUUCUUCAAGUUUCUAAAGAAUUUCCGUUUUAUUAAUUAAUUCGAAGUUCAGAUUGUCAUUGAAGCAUGUGUUGCUCAGUGAUAGUUGGAGCUUUGAAUGAAUUGGGAUCUUCUUGAUUAUUCAACCCGCCAUUGUCAUGCUGGUUUAGCAGGCUAAAUUCAGUUGCUUAGCCGAUAAUGGAGGAUACUGAAUAGUUGAGGAUUUCCUGAACUGUGAUUUAUGAAAUGAAGGAUCAUGAUUUAUGAAUAGAUUAUUAUCAAAGUUUGAAUUGGAAUUAUUCUGUUGUUGAUGAUAUUUAUGAUGAUGUUCUGUUAAUUUACAUUGGCUUCUUGAAUUGAAUUAGAGAAUUGGAUUAUUGUUUUUAUAUAAACCUGUGGACCAGAUUCGUGGUCAUGUUAGGCCAAUGAGUGCCUUGGAUCCAGUGAUAGAGCAUGGCGGGGCCUGCUCGGGGUUAGUGCGGAACUGAUCAGCUGCCUAACCUUGGUUUUAAUUAAAAUGUGAUAGUCCAAUUCAAUAAUUCUUUUGGAAAGAUUGAAUUCCUCAGUAUUCAAUUGCUGCAAGGUAUUGUGAUUUUCUUAUACAAUACCUAAACUCGUGAACUCAGGUUGAAUCCUUUUAUAUCUUGAACUCAUGAACUUCUGUUAUAUCAUUUCAGAAUUUUCAUUGUUUAUUACUACUUGCUGAGCAUUGUUGCUCACUCUUGCUAUUCUCUUUUAACCAUUUCAGAAAGGCUUAAAGAUGAGAUGAUUGAUUGAGAUUGUGAAUAAGGCUAAUGCUAGGCGAGGAGACAGAGUUGAGGAUCCAGUGGUCGAGGAGUGUUCAGGAAAGUUGAUGAGGUUGGUGCAAGCUAGAGCCGUGCUAUAGAGAUUCAAGUGUAAGUCAUAGCUGGAAUAGUUGACAGUGAUUCUUCUUAUCGAAGAUGAUCUGAUUUGGUAAGAGAUGUUGUGUAAUAAUAGUGGUUGAUUCUAAUUUCAAUACUGUAACCUGGAAGCGAUCCUGUUGUUUUGGGGGUGAAGAUGUUCUCUUUUAAAUCUUUUAUUUAACGUCUUUCAAAUCUUUUAUUAAA